rnacentral:rRNA from 1 species
AUGCAUUGGAAGAAAUUUGUUGUUCAUGACAAGCCUACUAUGGCUCCCUCCCAGCCUAGUACAGAGAGACCUGAAGGUGUGAUUACAUCAAUUAUUUUGGUGCCCAUGCGCUUUGAUGGCAAAGCUGCUCAACACUGGAUGAUUCUGUGGGAUCCAGGUGACUGUUUUUUGGGAGCGUGUGCCAUGGAUGACGUGAAUUUCUCUAUUCGUUCCAAGCAAGCUUGUUUUCAAGGAGGGAGGUGUAUCACCAUCCUCGCCACCUUCGUCGACCACAACUACUACCUCGACGCCGUCCUCAACUUGGUUCCUAUCGACAAUGAUGACUACUCUGACCUUGUUCGAGUUAACUCUGGCCACGGCUGCGGUCAUGAAGGCUACUUCCGCCAUCUAGGCAAGCAAGCUUACUACUCCGGUCAAGUCUACACCGACCUCGGCUUCUAUUCUGAAGACUACCAUGGCAACCCUAGCAAGUUCAAGGGACUUCAAGCGCCGUGGGAUCCCGGCAAGUCAGCAUUUCAGUCUUCUCGAGCUUCGGCUUGGGGUCAAGCCGAGUUUCAAGGAGGGAGGGGUGUUAGCAACCCUCCACGGGUGGGCCUUGGGCCGGCAUGA